AAUAGAUACCCAGGUAGUCCACGCCGUAAACGAUGAGAACUAGAUGUUAGGGGGCUUAGACCUUUUAGUAUCGCAGCAAACGCGUUAAGUUCUCCGCCUGGGGAGUACGGCCGCAAGGUUAAAACUCAAAUGAAUUGACGGGGGCCCGCACAAGCGGUGGAGCAUGUGGUUUAAUUCGAUGCAACGCGAAGAACCUUACCUACCUUUGAAUCCACGGAAUCUUGCAGAAAUGUGAGAGUGCCUUCGGGAACCGUGAGACAGGUGCUGCAUGGCUGUCGUCAGCUCGUGUCGUGAGAUGUUGGGUUAACGUCCCGUAACGAGCGCAACCCUUGUCCUUAGUUACCAGCGAGUUAUGUCGGGGUACUUUAAGGAGACUGCCGGUGAUAAACCGGAGGAAGGUGGGAUGACGUCAAGUCCUCAUGGCCCUUACGAGGUAGGGGCCACACACGUGCUACAAUGGCCGGUACAAAGGGUUGCCACCCGCGAGGGGAGCUAAUCUCAAAAGCCGGUCGUAGUCCGGAUUGGAGUCUGCACUCGACUCCAUGAAGCUGGAAUCGUC
rnacentral:rRNA from 1 species